CUCAGACCCUGCAAGCCCAAAGAAAAGAGGAGCAGGAGUUGGGGGCUGAAUAUUCACUGGUUCACCUCUUCUGGAUAAGAAGGUGGAAGAGUGGACUGCUUAAUGAAAAUGUUUCUGAAUGUUCUGGGGUUCAAUCACUUACCCUGAAAUUCAAGGAGAGCAGCCCUGAGUGCAGAUAAAGGGGUAAUACUGAAGAAGAACUGAACUGUGGAAAUGGUACCAUGGCUGUUGGGUGCAUUGAGCUGAGGCCCGCUGACUCCUGGUGAUUUUGGUUAACAAGACAGAAGUUCUACAGCAACCUUUCUUACUCACAAUAAAAUGCUCCAGGAGAUGGAAUGCUGCAUUGUGAAAACUAGCAAAUACGAAAACCAUUUGUGAAAGAACUCUGCAGAAGGUUCUCUUUUUUCCUCCACAUCAACAAACAUGACAGACAGGAUCCUCUUCCUUCAUAGCCAUGGGCAGCCUGCCUUGGAGCCAGGACUGCCGGUCACACCUGACGGUGCCUGAAUGCAUAGCAGUUGUGUUGGGAGCACAAAUGUGAGGAAAGACAAGAGCACCAAACUAAUUUUAACUUGUGACCUAAACAAGGGUUUGAACCCAAGUCUCCUGAGAUAAAAGGCUGUUGCCCUUAUUUUUCAUCUGAAAAGCCAUUUGGACUGCAUAUAGACAGUUCCCCUUGAGAGAUGGUGUUAGAUUGAUGUACUGCAGCGUGAAAUGGGAGUGUAAAUGUAUGUGAUGUUCAUGGGCUAGUGAAUAGAGCUGGUUUACUAUGGGAUGAAUUGCCAGCAAAAUAAACAGGCUACCUCUAACCCCAUCUACUGCUUUUCUUAGUUGAGGACAAUAGUGUAACUUCAAAUGCACGUUGAUUCUGACACGUUCUUUGCGACGCUGACGUACCUGGAAAAGUAUAAAUGCUGAAAACUUGUUCUCAUUUCUAUUAUGGAUAUAUAAGAAGAGAGAAAGUAGCUUAGAGGAAUCAAAAGAAUAGAAAGUAUUUAUUGCUUCACUGUCACAGUGCUCAGAGCUCAGUUAAAAUUCAGGAGCCCUUUGUUUAAUACGGGUAUGUUUGAAAUUAUCCAGCCUUUGUAUUUAAUAGCCAGGGAGACUUAAUUACUCUGUUCCAGCCUUCAGUGAGAAUGCAGACAAACAGCCUUUUACAUUGUACUGAAUAUAUGUAAGGAAAAAAGACAUUUUUUUACUUCCUGGCACUCGAAAAAUGUAAGAGACUUUCAAAGGAACUGCAGUGUUGGGUACCUACUAUUUUGCAAUAUCUAGGCCACUCAGAAGAGCAUUUUUCUAUACAAAGACUACAUUUGAUGCAUUAUAGUGAAAGACUUGGCAAUGCAGUCAAAAGUAAUCUUGUUUUCACCUGUCUUAUGGCCUGAAAUGAGUGUACUGCAGGCAAUUUGGAGGUUAGUGGGAGACUAAAAUAUUUAAUAAUUCUUAGAAUUCUCUCUCUGUAUCUGUGUGGUUUAUAUAUACACCUGUUUUAAGAUAUAAGUAACAGUAAGAAAUAAGAAAAUCCUGCAGAUUCUUUUAAGUUCUUUACGUUAUCUAAGAGCAAAUAGUCAUCUUGCAGGGAAAAAAAGGGUGCCUUGUCAAUUCACAGUGUUUCAAUACCUCUUACUGUUAUGGUAGUUCUUACUCCACCCAAUUUAUAAUGAUAUUGCCUAAGAAUGAAGAUGGUUAAGCAUGAAAAAUUUAAAAGCAGUGGCUUUAAAAUUAAGCUGCUGAGGUCGAGCCAGUAGUAUGUCUACAACUACAGCUUUUUCAAUACUUUGUAUGUUCUUCAGCUGUUACAAGACACAAUGGGAAUAGAUAGCAGUUAGGUAGUGGUAGUAAGUUUGGAUUAUUAUGGUUACUUUAUUAAAAUUUUGGUUGGUUUGCCCACUAUAAAUCUCAAAUAAGCAGAUAAUUGUGGGAGGCAAAAGAGAAAGAAAAGAAUAAUUAAGUUGUUCAAACCAAAUAUGUUAAUAAAGAUUAGUGGCUUUAUAUGUGUAUAUAUUUCACAUGGAAAAUUAAACAGAAUAAUGUCCAUUGCCUAAGGUAGUGAGAAAGGGAGAAAAUUCUGGAGAGGAUGAGGAACUGGUUUCUUGGCAGGUUGAAUUUCUAAAUAAUAUUGAAAAGGUGUAAUUAAAGAAGUGACUUGCAAUAAUUUUAUUGUCCUAAGUAAAAGUAAAUUGAGGUAUGGAAAGGAGAUGUUCCUUGCUUGUAAGUUCUUUACAAAGCUUUGUCAGGGUCAAAACCCAGGAAUUGGCUUUCAUGAAAGAUGUCUUGCCUACAGUGUUAAUAUGUGAUUACAUUUUCAGGAGGAAAAAGUUUAUAGAGAUUUCAAAAGAUCUUUGACAUUAAAUACUUGCAUUCAAAUAUUCAAGUUUUUAUUAAUUCCUCAACAGUAUUUUUUUGUGUGUGUGUGUGUAUGUAUGAUUAUUUGAAAGAGCUUCUGUAUUUCAUAGAACACCACAUGAACCAGGAAAGUUCUUGUUGAACAGUCACUGUAGGAUUGGCAUGUGGAAAUAUCUGGAAUUGUCUCAUUCUGGCUUUCUAAUGAGAAGUUAUACUAGAGCAAGGUACUUGACAGAGAUGGCAAAGAUGAAAAAUGUCAGUGUUUUGGAAGGCUUAUUAUAAAUCCUUGAAUCUCCCAGAUGCUUUUCAUUCUUAUUUCACAUAUUUUUGUUUACUUUUAAAAAGCUUUCCUUAAAAUUACCUCACUUCUGUUUCUUCAUCCAGAACUUUGAUUUAUACCAAUAGCUGCUGAAUAGUAAAGAUUAUUUUCUAUUGUAUUAAUGCCUUUGAAUUCUUGUAAUAGCAUGGCUCAAGUACCUGUGGAAGAAAACACUUUGUAUUGUGAAUUGGUUGUGUUACCUUGUGUUGCAGUGAAUAUAACCCAUCAAUGCAACCCAAACCCACGUGUCUUGGAAUUAAUUUUUAAUUCUUAUGAUGGGAAGGUCAGUUUUUUGCCAUAUAGUUUUCUUA